CAGUAGCCGCGGGAAUACGAAGGGGGCUAGCGUUGUUCGGAAUUACUGGGCGUAAAGCGCACGUAGGCGGAUAUUUAAGUCAGGGGUGAAAUCCCGCAGCUCAACUGCGGAACUGCCUUUGAUACUGGGUAUCUUGAGUAUGGAAGAGGUUAGUGGAAUUGCGAGUGUAGAGGUGAAAUUCGUAGAUAUUCGGAAGAACACCAGUGGCGAAGGCGGCUCACUGGACUGGUAUUGACGCUGAGGUGCGAAAGCGUGGGGAGCAAACAGGAUUAGAUACCCCGGUAGUCCCUGUCUCUUAUAC
rnacentral:rRNA from 1 species